GCCCUACUGUCUUUAUUUUGUGUAGAUUUUGGGUUUCGGAUUUUAUUAUUGGCUUUCAGUAUUUAUACCAGGCUUUACUCAAAGUUGGGCAAUCCUGUCUCAGCCUCCUAAGUGUUGUAGGGAUUACAGGUAGGAGGACCAUGCCUAACCUAAUAAAUCUGUUUUCAGGAUCUUUUAUUUUCCUAAUUUUAGCAUUAACCAAAACUCUAGUGAGGCUCAAAAUAGAAUUUCCAGCGCUAGAUAGAUUCCAGUUUGCAUCUGUCCCUGCUUUUCCCAUACCUCAUUGUUUUUGGUCAGAAGGAGGCCUCCUUUCCCCCAGGUAGCCACCAAUUCCUUACCUCACUCCCUUCCUCUGCAGACCAAGUUUUUGGCUGCCAGUUGGAGUCGCUGUGCCAACGGGAAGGGGAUACCGUGCCCAGCUUUGUCCGGCUUUGUGUUGAGGCUGUGGAUAAAAAAGGUUAUUUUUCCAAAGACACCCCCGCUGAAAUCUCUCCUUUUGAGCCCCAGUUUCCCAUGCCCCCCAUCUCUGCCUUCCUCCUGACCCCUCUCCCUCAGACUACUCACACACACACUUUAGAGUUGGAGACCUCAUCCCUGUCUCCUAGGUCUAGAUGUGGAUGGCAUUUACCGGGUGAGUGGGAACCUGGCAGUGGUCCAGAAACUCCGCUUCCUGGUAGACAGAGGUGA
rnacentral:lncRNA from 1 species